rnacentral:rRNA from 1 species
GACGAGGGAUGCAAGCGUUAUCCGGAAUGAUUGGGCGUAAAGCGUCUGUAGGUGGUUUAUUAAGUCUAGUGUUAAAGAUCAGGGCUUAACCCUGAGUCGGCAGUAGAAACUGAUGAGCUUGAGUACGGUAGGGGCAGAGGGAAUUCCCGGUGUAGCGGUGAAAUGCGUAGAGAUCGGGAAGAACACCAAUGGCGAAAGCACUCUGCUGGGCCGAAACUGACACUCAGAGACGAAAGCUAGGGGAGCGAAUGGG